rnacentral:rRNA from 1 species
UAAUACAGAGGUCCCGAGCGUUGUUCGGAUUCACUGGGCGUAAAGGGUGCGCAGGUGGGUUGGCAAGUUCGAUGUGAAAGCCCCGGGCUUAACCCGGGAAUGGCAUUGGAUACUGCUGAUCUGGAGGAUCGGAGGGGGGACUGGAAUUCUUGGUGUAGCAGUGAAAUGCGUAGAUAUCAAGAGGAACACCAGUGGCGAAGGCGAGUCCCUGGACGAUACCUGACACUGAGGCACGAAAGCCAAGGGAGCAAACAG